rnacentral:ribozyme from 1 species
UAAAAAAAAGAGAAAAGCAACGGCUCCCUUUUCAGCUGCGUCCUGCUAUAUGAAAAAGCAGCCCUGUCGUUUUGUGAAUGUGUAUCCUGGCUGCUUCUUCCCUUUUUCUUUUUUUGUUGUAGUGCUUUUACUUUCUCACUGCUCUCUGUU